rnacentral:rRNA from 1 species
UACGGAGGGUGCAAGCGUUUAUCCGGAUUCACUGGGUUUAAAGGGUGCGUAGGUGGGCAGUUAAGUCAGUGGUGAAUCAUCCGGGCUCGAACCCGGAAACCUGCCAUUGAUACUAUCUGUCUUGAAUAUCGUGGUGAGGUAAGGCGGAUAAUGUCUGUAGCGGUGAAAUGCUUAGAUAUGACAUAGAACACCAAUUGCGAAGGCAGCUUACUACCCGAAUAUUGACACUGAGGCACGAAAGCGUGGGGAUCAAACAGG